ensembl:lncRNA
GAGUCGUAGUGGUCAAGGGUGAAAAUGUCAGGUCGUAGUGGUCAAGGGUGAAAAUGUCAGGUCGUAGUGGUGUAUGGUGAAAAUGUCAGGUCGUAGUGGUGUAUGGUGAAAAUGUCAGGUCGUAGUGGUCAAGGGUGAAAAUGUCAGGUCGUAGUGGUCAAGGGUGAAAAUGUCAGGUCGUAGUGGUCAAGGGUGAAAAUGUCAUGUCGUAGUGGUCAAGGGUGAAAAUGUCAGGCUGUAGUGGUCUGUGGUGAAAAUGUCAGGUCGUAGUGGUGGGAGUGUUUGAACAGACACAAUUCUAGUGACAAACUGUCUGGAGAUUACAGCCCCACCCGUCAAGCGCGAAAACAACCGUGUUCUUGCAAAGUAAAGAAUGAGGGGAAAAAAAUAAAAUGGCCGAGUGUUGGCUCUGGUAGAGAACGAAACAAACAUCAUGUUCAGGCAUGGUCCUAUAGAGAAGUAGUCAUCUUAAUAAACACUGAAGUGUUCACUACAAUAAACAUGAGUCAUUCUCUCUCUCUUCCUCUUUCUUCCAGAUCUUCUGGUUUGUCCUUUAUUUCUCCUCGGGAAGUGAUCACGAGUGCUGGAAUUAACCCUCUUUCACUGUGCUGCUUGGAACGGACUGCCACAC